rnacentral:rRNA from 1 species
GUGAGGAAUUUUGCGCAAUGGGCGAAAGCCUGACGCAGCAACGCCGCGUGGACGAUGAAGGUCUUCGGAUCGUAAAGUCCUGUCGAGUGGGAAGAAAAGUGCGGAAGCCAACACCUUCCGCAUUCGACUGUACCACCAGAGGAAGCCCCGGCUAACUCCGUGCCAGCAGCCGCGGUAAUACGGAGGGGGCCAGCGUUGUUCGGAAUUAUUGGGCGUAAAGGGCGCGUAGGCGGCCGAAUAAGUCUGACGUGAAAUCCCCCGGCCCAACCGGGGAACUGCGUUUGAUACUGUCCGGCUCGAGUCCGGGAGAGGGUAGCGGAAUUCCCAGUGUAGCGGUGAAAUGCGUAGAUAUUGGGAGGAACACCGGUGGCGAAGGCGGCUACCUGGACCGGUACUGACGCUGAGGCGCGAAAGCUAGGGGAGCAAACAGGAUUAGAUACCCUGGUAGUCC